GACAAUCCAAGCUGGAAAGGGAUCUCUUCUGGUGUGAUUGUGUACAUCAAAUCCUCAAUCUUGCGGGCAAACUGGAAAAGCCGCUCAAAUUGAUAAUAAAUGAUCAUGCUGAUAUGACGAGUACAGGCUUGCUCAUAAGCUUCACUGGCCUGGUGAUAAAAUUUGGCUAACGUUGGAACUACAUUAGCUAGGUCGUACAAGCUAUUUUGAAAUGCUGCAUAGUUCUCCAAAAGAAAAAUGUCUGCAUAUUUUAGAUCUGUCUGUGCAAUUUUCUCCAAUGUUACAAACAUGAUGCUAACAAAUUUUGUAUAAGCUUGAUCAACCAAAUCCCUAGAUUGCCCCUGAAUGUACUGUUCCAUGCGAGUUGC
rnacentral:misc_RNA from 1 species